GACGAAUGCUGGCGGCAUGCUUAACACAUGCAAGUCGAACGGAAAGGCCCUGCUUUUGUGGGGUGCUCGAGUGGCGAACGGGUGAGUAACACGUGAGUAACCUGCCCUUGACUUUGGGAUAACUUCAGGAAACUGGGGCUAAUACCGGAUAGGAGCUCCUGCUGCAUGGUGGGGGUUGGAAAGUUUCGGCGGUUGGGGAUGGACUCGCGGCUUAUCAGCUUGUUGGUGGGGUAGUGGCUUACCAAGGGUUUGACGGGUAGCCGGCCUGAGAGGGUGACCGGCCACAUUGGGACUGAGAUACGGCCCAGACUCCUACGGGAGGCAGCGGUGGGGAAUAUUGCACAAUGGGCGGAAGCCUGAUGCAGCAACGCCGCGUGCGGGAUGACGGCCUUCGGGUUGUAAACCGCUUUCGCCUGUGACGCAGCGUGAGUGACGGUAAUGGGUAAAGAAGCACCGGCUAACUACGUG
rnacentral:rRNA from 1 species